rnacentral:rRNA from 1 species
GUGCCAGCAGCCGCGGUAAUACGGAGGGUGCGAGCGUUGUCCGGAUUUAUUGGGCGUAAAGAGCUCGUAGGCGGUUCAACAAGUCGGUCGUGAAAGUUCAGGGCUCAACCCUGAAAUGUCGAUCGAUACUGUUGUGACUAGGAUACGGUAGAGGUGAAUGGAAUUCCAAGUGUAGAGGUGAAAUUCGUAGAUAUUUGGAGGAACACCAGUGGCGAAGGCGGCUCUCUGGCUCGAUACUGACGCUGAGGUACGAAAGUGUGGGGAGCAAACAGGAUUAGAUA